GCAAUCAAAGCCCAGGUGACUCGUGCUAAUUCUUUGUUUUUUUGCCUUUUUCAGAAUUGUGUCCCUAAUAUUUCGAGAAGCAAGCUUGACAAUGAUGUUUGGUGCAGUUGUAUUAUUCUUUGUAGGAACGCGGUGUAUCACAUCAAUGUCCGAGUCUUUAAUUUCUACGUUCAAGCAGCUAGAGAUGGCUUGCAUUGUGGUACCGAGGUUCUCUCCAGCCUUAAUUGGAACACCUUUGAUUUCCAGGUUGCUAAUACGACUGUGUUGUGCAACGGCAGUCAGCUCUUGUUUAACAUCUUUCAGUUCAUUUGACAGGCGACUGUUUUCCUUUCUUAUUGCAAUGUUGUCCGACUUGACUGCAGCGACUUCCAGUUUGAUUUCUUCAAAACUCUGAUUAAUAAAGUUCAUUGCUGAUUUCACUGAUUCCAUUUCGCCCUCAAUCACUUUGAUGCUAUCACGUUUUAAUUCUUCGUGAUUCUUUGCAAUUUGUGCGGUCAAAUCUGACAUUGCCUUGGCCAGCUCCUUUAUAGUACUCAUUUUGAUAAGUUUCACCCAGAGAGCAGUCCAAGAGCUACAAUGCGCGCAAAUAGAACGUUUCAAAAUGCUUCAGCACAUACCUGCGUGAAGUAAGGUUUGCGGUUAAUAGCCGUCCUAUCCUGCAGCUGCCUGGACUGCUCUCGAAUGAUCCUUUUGCCCGGUCAGUACAUCGCUUUCAUAGUCCUGGGAUGACGUCACGGUUCCGUCCGGGGGCGUUAUCCGCAGCCUCCAACGUAGUUUCCAACUUGAUAAGAGUAUCAAUGCGCUGACACGUGCGAGACAAGUCACGAUGUGACGGCGAUAUGAAUGGAUGCACUGGCCUCGCUGCCGACGAGUUCCCUAGGUGGUGCCGUGGAAUGCACUGCGUGAAGUAAGGUUUGCGGUUAAUAGCCGUCCUAUCCUGCAGCUGCCUGGACUGCUCUCGAAUGAUCCACUUGCCCGGUCAGUACAUCGCUUUCAUAGUCCUGGGAUGACGUCACGGUUCCGUCCGGGGGCGUUAUCCGCAGUCUCCAACGUAGUUUCCAACUU
rnacentral:lncRNA from 1 species